UUACAACACUUGUAUGAUGACACAAGUUAAGUAGCAUGCCACUAAUCACAGACAUAAUCACCACCCUAUCAAGCACUUAACAUCACAAAAAAAAAAUAAAGAGAAAAAAUUGAUUGAACACGGUAUGGACUUUGCAGCAUCACAAAUUCAUCAUAUACAAGAUCUCUCCUUCUCCUCUAUGUUCAUGUCUAAAACAGGCGUAAUGGUUCUUUAAUUUUCUUGUCCAUUUGACUAUAUCAUCCCUGGGAGCAUCACAAAAACACCUCAAAAUAUAAACAUUUCAAUUGAUUCAAGCAGAAACUUGCAAUAACAGGAACCAAAGAAGAAACAAAGCAAGAAUCUUAACAUAAGCCUUUCGCCUUACACCUCAAAUAAAAAGAAGCUUAAAGAUAAAGAUU
rnacentral:lncRNA from 1 species